rnacentral:rRNA from 1 species
UACGGAGGGUGCAAGCGUUAAUCGGAAUUACUGGGCGUAAAGCGUGCGCAGGCGGUUUGUUAAGUCUGCUGUGAAAUCCCCGAGCUCAACUUGGGAAUUGCAGUGGAUACUGGCAAGCUAGAGUAUGGUAGAGGAAGGUGGAAUUCCCGGUGUAGCAGUGAAAUGCGCAGAUAUCAGGAGGAACACCGGUGGCGAAGGCGGGAUCCUGGGCCAGUACUGACGCUCAUGCACGAAAGCGUGGGGAGCAAACAGG